rnacentral:rRNA from 1 species
AACGAACGCUGGCGGCGUGCCUAACACAUGCAAGUCGAACGUGAUUGGAAGCUUGCUUCCAUGAAAGUUGCGCACGGGUGAGUAACGCGUAGAUAAUCUACCUGGUGAUCCGGGAUAACAGUUCGAAAGGACUGCUAAUACCUGAUAAGCCCACGGAGUCCUUGGACUCUGCGGGAACAGGGGGGGACCGUAAGGCCUUCCGUCAUCAGAUGAGUCUGCGUACCAUUAGCUAGUUGGUGGGGUAAAGGCCUACCAAGGCGACGAUGGUUAGCUGGUCUGAGAGGAUGAUCAGCCACAAUGGAACUGAGACACGGUCCAGACUCCUACGGGAGGCAGCAGUGGGGAAUUUUGCGCAAUGGGCGAAAGCCUGACGCAGCAACGCCGCGUGAGUGAUGAAGGCCCUUGGGUCGUAAAGCUCUGACAGAGGGAAAGAAAUGUAGAGUGGCUAAUAUCCACAUUACUUGACGGUACCCUCAAAGGAAGCACCGGCUAACUCCGUGCCAGCCGCCGCCGUAA